rnacentral:lncRNA from 1 species
UUCAAGCUUAGAAAUGGGGGUGCGAGAAACCAUAGGUUAGAUCUAGGCAUAGGACUUAUUGAGCAAGGGAUGACUAGGAACUAGGAGGGUAGGUGUGCCAACGAGAGGGUGGAGUGGAAGUGGGGCAAUAGAGUAGGUCAUGGAAUGGACCAAAAUGGGUGCCGACUUUGGCUUCAAAGGAAUGGAAAUGUGAUGAUGCUGGCUCAAGGAGGGCCUUGAUGUCAUAGAAGCAGUGGGCGCGAGCAACAUGACAAAUGGCAAGGUUGUUAGGACCUCAAGCCAGAUAAGGGUCAUCAAAUGGGCUAGUAAUGGACGAGAGGAUGGAGAUUGGGUCGUUAUUGUCAUUCCAAUUUUCAAUAACUAAUCUCUAACAUUUUUGAAUGGCAUGUGAUGGCAAGAGCAGAUAUAUAACAAGAAAACUUUUUAGGGCGCGUCUUUUGGUGGAAAAGUUGGUCAACUUUUUCAUUGACCAAGUUACCUAUAUUCUCAUGCUUUUCUAGGUGGGUAAGAUAUUUUUCCUUGGAAAUUGGAGGAAAGUCUUACCCACUUGAGAUGUGGGUAGGUCAUUUUUCCAUCAACUGUUAAAUAACCUUUUUAUUUUGUUCCUAAAAUACCCAUAACCCUAAUAUUAUAUUAUAUUACGUGUACUAUAUACAAUAAUAAUAUUAUAUAUUAUAAAUAAUCAUUAUAUUU